AGUGAAAGGCCUUGACAUUGGGGUGGGCACCAUAUACAUUACAAAGCAUGUCAUUUAUAUUGUGGUGUAUGACUUAGCAUUAUGUUAUAAGUUAAAAAAUAGUGAUGUGACACUGCACUUGUCUGUGGUGAUAGUUAGUGUGUUAAAGUUAAAUAAAUGUCAAAGUUAAAUCAAUGAAUGAAAAUAGUAGACUAAGGCAGAUUAAUUUAAGCUGGCUUGAAUGGCUGCUGGCCACAAAACACAGAGACCUGGUGGUCUGCCAGUGUGGCAGGUUUGUCUAGUGCUUCAUUUCCUAUUUCAACAUGCCUUUUAAUUAUGAUUUUAUAAGUGAUAGGAAUGUAUUUUAAACGUCUGGAUGUGUCUAGAAGAGCUCAGUGCAUCUGGCUAACAUGCCUUCAUAAACAGCAAUGUACUUUGUUUCAUAACCAAGAAUAGUUAAGAUACAAAUUUAUGUCACAAUGUAAUACGUUGGAUUACAGCCCGAGUCAACUUGAAUGACUUGUAGCUCACACGCAAAGCUGUGCAGAAGGGAGCAGAGAUUGAAGCAGCUGCACGGGGUGUGCUCACCAGCUGUCCCCCCGUUUGGCUCCUCCCCGGAGGCAGGGCUGUGUGAGCACUGGGGGCAGGAGAGAACAGAACAGCAGCAGGAUUUCUCGCUUAUUUUUCACAGAUCUUUAUUUAUCCAUACCAGUUCUUCCCUCAAGAUCUUACAUAAAACCAGCCUCCUAUCCCUUUUCUCUGCCAUGGCUGUGUGUUCUGCCAUCAGCCUCUCUGGAAGUGAAGGCUCCUAGCCAAGGGACCCAUCCCUGGGCUAUGGCUGGCGCCUGGUGAGAAGGAUCCUUCUUUGCACCAGCCGAGCAGAGGGUGAUCUGAGAUGAGAUUAGCCCUGGGUAAUCUGUGUGUUGAAGUGUAUAUGAAUUACAUUUCAGACAUGGGUGCAUGCCUACAGCCCAACACAGGCAUUUUCCUAUACAGAAACUGUAAUAGGAAGGACUUGUAAAAAAAAUUUCCAUCUCUAAGAUCAUUUCCUCACAAUGGCAGUGAUGGCAAUUAGCAGCAGGCACACAUAUUUGCUCAAGAGUUUGCCUGACAAUUCUAAUAAAUGGUUCUGUUUAGCAGUGUAUUCAUUAUGGUAAUUAGAUCUCAGUCAUGUGUGAUUAUAUCCCAAUACCACACAUACUGACUGGGCAGCCCCUCGCUCCCCGUCAUAGUAACCUUACCUCUGCACUGCUGCAGUCUGAAAAUGGCUGUGACUGCAGAUCAAUAGCAUUUUAUCUGCUUGUGACUGCAUUAAGAUAUACAUUUCUGUUUAGAUGGAUUUUCAUUUGCACUAAAAUAUCUUUAUUGUCCCCUGGCAAUGGAAAUUAGUCUUAAAGUGAGUGUAAAUUAUGACAAAAUUAGAAUACUCUUCUGAUACAUCAUCUUUAUUGUGCCUUUCCAUACUUUUUAUUUUUGUAAAAUGCUACUUCAGGUCCCCUGGGUUGAUGUUAAAAGAAGUGCAGUCAGGGUAAGCUUAUCUAACUGUGAAUGCAUUGCAGUGUGUUUCUUUGAUACAAGAUGAGGUGGUAUUGGUGUGCUCAUCAAUCAUUUCUCCACUUCCAGCUACCACCUGGGAGCUGGCAGAAAAGUAAUUCUCAAAGUAAUUCGUGUAUUAAAAUGGCCAGUCUUUCCCACCCCCACUCAUGGAUUGGUUUACUCACUGAAUAUACUUGAAGAGGUUUAGAUUUUCUUCAGGCAAAUGUUUGUAGAUCCUUAUCUUCGUAUGAAUUUCAGUAGAAAUUAUUAUUUGUUCAAUGACUAAUAAACCUGGAAAUGUUAAUUUACAUUUCCCCAGUUUAAAAAUAUCAAUUUCCUAUUAAGGAGGCUGAGAAACAUCAAAAGCCUGGAUUUUGGGCUGAUGGCCUUUUGUGUCCAAAGUUUGGUUUGCAUAUUUUCAAUCUAUAGGCUCUGUGGGCCUGUCCUUUGUAUCUCCCAGACCUGGCUUGAUGAUUGAAAUGCUUUUCAAGAGGAGCUCCUCUCCAGUGUAAACCAGCUUCCCACAGUAGCUGCUGGGUGUUCUAUUGCAGUUGGUCUCCAAAGCACAGAAAUGAGGCAUUUAACUAAUACAUGUGGAUUUUUUACCAAAUACUCGGCAGUUUAUAGUUUCAUAACACUGACAGUAGCCAUUUAGGAAUGAAAGUAAAUUCUGUAAUCAAUUGCAAUGGCAAAUGGCUUGAUUUGAAUAUGCAAAUAAGACCUCACUUCAUUUACUGUAGCUGUUUCACAGCUCAAUGAAAUCCUGCAGCUGUUGCGGUGAAUAUAACCCAAAGCUGAUUUUUCUAAUUACAAUAGGUUGUAAAUAAGUAUUAGAAAUUAGAGGUUAUAAAUUUCUAGGAAAAAAAAAUCAAAUUAGAUUGCAAUGAGAUAUAUAACAAAUUAGCCAGAACUGGAUAAUAUUGUGGUGGUUGUAAUCCCAUACAGAAUGUUUAGUAAUUAAACAUUCACAUUUCCAUAUAAUGAUUUGGAGUUAUAAAUAGUAUUCUAGAAGUAAAAUAAGCUCAGGGAUUUUAAUGUGAAUAAUGUGGAUAUCAUAUUAAUUUAGUGUUUGUUCUUCCAUUCAUUUCCAUUCCUUGAUAUCUUUCACCGGGGACCCUCAUUCUGUCAACAUGAAUGAAAUCUCAGAACCUCAUUAUGAAAUUGCUGGGUACUAUUUGUCCCUAUUACUCACACAGGCUGGAGAGACAAGCAGGUUACAUUCUCUUAAGUAAUGACAGUAGCAGACCAGACAAGAAAUCUUAGCCUCAGUACAGUGAAUGGCAAAAUUCCUGUUAACUCAGACAUGGAAAGACACCUCUGCAGGAGUGGGGAGUUUUGAAUAUCCAUUUUCUGUAUUACUCAUUUGAAAUUGCCUUAUACUGUUGUAAAAAUGAUUGCAGGCAUCAAUUUGCUUCAUAAUGUCCUUCUAUUUGUACCCAAUUUUGGUCACUGACCCCUAAAAAGACAGGAAGUCAUUAUUGUCUAUUUUGUUAAGAAGGUACAGUUGGAAAGAAGGUCCUUCCACGUAUUGCUGUAUGAUGUUAUACUUUGGACUACAUUACAAAAUCACUAUGAAUGCAUUCUGAAA